UUCGAUUAGAGUUUGAUCAUGGCUCAGAAUGAACGCUGGCGGCGUGCUUUACACAUGCAAGUCGAGCGAGGCGGGUAGCAAUACCCAGUCGAGCGGCGAACGGGUGAGUAACGCGUGGAUUAUCUGCCCUGAGGUGGGGGAUAACCCGGGGAAACUCGGGCUAAUACCGCAUAUGACCGUGAGGUCAAAGGGGGGUCGCAAGAUCUCUCGCCAUAGGAGGAGUCCGCGUCCGAUUAGCUAGUUGGUAGGGUAAUGGCCUACCAAGGCGACGAUCGGUAGCCGGCCUGAGAGGGUGAUCGGCCACACUGGAACUGAGACACGGUCCAGACUCCUACGGGAGGCAGCAGUGGGGAAUUUUGCGCAAUGGGCUAACGCCUGACGCAGCAACGCCGCGUGGAGGAUGAAGGUCCUUGGAUUGUAAACUCCUGUCAGCAGGGAAAAAGCGAAUCGGCCUAAUACGCCGGUGAGUUGAUUGUACCUGCAGAGGAAGCCCCGGCUAACUCUGUGCCAGCAGCCGCGGUAAUACGAAUCACUAGUGAAUUCGCGGCCGCCUGCAGGUCGACCAUAUGGGAGAGCUCCCACGCGUUGGAUGC
rnacentral:rRNA from 1 species